rnacentral:rRNA from 1 species
AUUGAACGCUGGCGGCAUGCCUUACACAUGCAAGUCGAACGGCAGCAUGGAGAGCUUGCUCUCUGAUGGCGAGUGGCGAACGGGUGAGUAAUGCAUCGGAACGUACCGUGUAAUGGGGGAUAACGUAGCGAAAGUUACGCUAAUACCGCAUACGACCUGAGGGUGAAAGCAGGGGACCGCAAGACCUUGCGUUAUACGAGCGGCGGAUGUACGAUUAGCUAGUUGGUGAGGUAAAGGCUCACCAAGGCGACGAUCUGUAGCGGGUCUGAGAGGAUGAUCCGCCACACUGGGACUGAGACACGGCCCAGACUCCUACGGGAGGCAGCAGUGGGGAAUUUUGGACAAUGGGGGCAACCCUGAUCCAGCCAUGCCGCGUGAGUGAAGAAGGCCUUCGGGUUGUAAAGCUCUUUCGGCCGGGAAGAAAUCGCACAGGCUAAUACUCUGUGUGGAUGACGGUACCGGCAUAAGAAGCACCGGCUAACUACGUGCCAGCCGCCGCAGUAA